AAUCAACGCUGGCGGCGUGCCUCAGACAUGCAAGUCGAACGAUUAAAGCUCUCUUCGGAGAGUGCAUAGAGUGGCGCACGGGUGAGUAACACGUAAGUAAUCUACCUUCGAGUGGGGAAUAACAGUCGGAAACGACUGCUAAUACCGCAUAAUGCAGCGGCAUCGCAAGAUGACAGUUGUUAAAGGAGCAAUUCGCUUGAAGAGGAGCUUGCGGCAGAUUAGCUUGUUGGUAAGGUAACGGCUUACCAAGGCUACGAUCUGUAACCGGUCUAAGAGGACGGUCGGUCACACUGACACUGAAUAACGGGUCAGACUCCUACGGGAGGCAGCAGUCGGGAAUUUUGGGCAAUGGGCGAAAGCCUGACCCAGCAACGCCGCGUGAAGGAUGAAGUAUUUCGGUAUGUAAACUUCGAAAG
rnacentral:rRNA from 1 species